UGGGGAAUCUUGGACAAUGGGCGCAAGCCUGAUCCAGCCAUGCCGCGUGGAUGAUGAAGGCCUUAGGGUUGUAAAAUCCUUUCGUGGGGGACGAUAAUGACGGUACCCCAAGAAGAAGCUCCGGCUAACUUCGUGCCAGCAGCCGCGGUAAUACGAAGGGGGCUAGCGUUGUUCGGAUUUACUGGGCGUAAAGGGUGCGUAGGCGGGAGUUUAAGUUAGUUGUGAAAUCCCCGGGCUUAACCUGGGAAUUGCAUUCGAUACUGCUUGGCUAGAGUGUGGAAGAGGGAAGCGGAAUUUCCGGUGUAGCGGUGAAAUGCGUAGAUAUCGGAAGGAACACCAGUGGCGAAGGCGGCUUCCUGGUCCAACACUGACGCUGAGGCGCGAAAGCGUGGGGAGCAAACAGGAUUAGAUACCCAAGUAGUCCCUGAGCGGGCUGGCAAGGCGCAU
rnacentral:rRNA from 1 species